rnacentral:lncRNA from 1 species
CUUGAAACUUAUUUCUAUCUAUCUCUGAUUAUUUAUGAUUUGGCUUGUAAAAAACUUUUAGAACUGUUUUUAAUAUAAAAAUUAGAAUAAUAGUCGUCUUAAUAAUCAUGAAUGAAAAUCUUAUUGAAAUAAUGCUUAUCUGAAAGUUUAUCUCUACUUUUAAAUCUAUCUCCUAUCUUUUGUGACAAAAACAGUUGUUCUAUACCAGUGGUCUCAAACCACUGGCCUUUUGGUUGCAUGUAGGCGCAUGUUUCAUUUAUUAUAAUUACAAGAGCACAUAAAAGAUAUUCAGAAAAAAAUUAUAAUCAUUUUCCGUGAAAUACUAUAUUUGAAAAUCAUUUUAAAGUGUUUUGUAAAUUGUAUUAGAAUUCAGUAAAACCGAAUUUUUUCAAUAUAAAAUUUCCUCUUCAAAAUUAUAAAAAUUACUAUCAUUUAAAAAAUAGAAAUAUAGAAUUAUAAAACCAUUUAUAAAUUAAAACAUGAAUUAAUCUGCAUCAUAUUAAUAGAAAGAUUUUUACAUUUUAAUUUUUAUUUCCCAUAAAGGGGUAAUUUUAAAUGCAAUCUCCAAUCAACAAAAAGUGUCUAAAAUGGCCUUUGAAGAGAAUGAGUUUGAGAUUGUUAUCUGUGAUAAUAAAUAUCACAGUUAAUAGGUUACAUGACAAGAAAAUCAUCAUUCUAAUUCUGACCAGGUUGGAAACAAAUCAUGCUGUUUCUAUCAAGGCACUCACUAUUUACAGUCUAUAUCAUUUACUAAAAAGUUAUACCAUCUAGGCCAUUUACAUAAUAAUCAUUAAACUUUUUUAUCUACAACAUUAUAUAAAUAGUUGUACAAUAAACAAAUAUUUAAGUUAUGACUAAAUAUAUAUUUUUAAAAUUUUAAUUAUUGUUCUGAUAGAAAAGAACCAAAAUUAGAUGGUAAUCAAUGAUGUCUGUAACAUCAAAUGCUUUCACAUUCACAUAAGUCAAUCUCUAAACACAUUUUAAACUAGAUUAACUGAGGAAAAUAUGUUUUGAGUUUGAAAAUGGUUCAUGAGAAAUAAAAAGUAUUAUCAAUAAUUAAGAGUUUUCUUUGUAACUACUAAUAAUAAUAACAAUAAUAACUAUAGCCUUUAAAUAUUAAUUAAUUCUAAUACCUCCACCUUCAAUACAAACUUAUGAUUGAUCUUACAAGAAAGUUCAAGAGUCGCUAAUCAGCUUCGGUACAAGACAAAAUACCUCUAACACCUCACUAUGUCCAUUGAUGUGUAUGUGUUUAUCCAAGUGACUUUUUUAGAGUUCAGAGCUUGUCUCAUUUAAAUAAGUCAUGCAACAAGUUCAAAUUUUUUAAUUUAUAGAGCAAUCAAUUCAUG